rnacentral:rRNA from 1 species
GUUUGAUCCUGGCUCAGAUUGAACGCUGGCGGCAGGCUUAACACAUGCAAGUCGAGCGGGGGAAGGUAGCUUGCUACUGGACCUAGCGGCGGACGGGUGAGUAAUGCUUGGGAAUCUGCCUAUUAGUGGGGGACAACAUCUCGAAAGGGAUGCUAAUACCGCAUACGUCCUACGGGAGAAAGCAGGGGAUCUUCGGACCUUGCGCUAAUAGAUGAGCCUAAGUCGGAUUAGCUAGUUGGUGGGGUAAAGGCCUACCAAGGCGACGAUCUGUAGCGGGUCUGAGAGGAUGAUCCGCCACACUGGGACUGAGACACGGCCCAGACUCCUACGGGAGGCAGCAGUGGGGAAUAUUGGACAAUGGGCGCAAGCCUGAUCCAGCCAUGCCGCGUGUGUGAAGAAGGCCUUAUGGUUGUAAAGCACUUUAAGCGAGGAGGAGGCUACUUUAGAUAAUACCUAGAGAUAGUGGACGUUACUCGCAGAAUAAGCACCGGCUAACUCUGUGCCAGCAGCCGCGGUAAUACAGAGGGUGCAAGCGUUAAUCGGAUUUACUGGGCGUAAAGCGCGCGUAGGCGGCUAAUUAAGUCAAAUGUGAAAUCCCCGAGCUUAACUUGGGAAUUGCAUUCGAUACUGGUUAGCUAGAGUGUGGGAGAGGAUGGUAGAAUUCCAGGUGUAGCGGUGAAAUGCGUAGAGAUCUGGAGGAAUACCGAUGGCGAAGGCAGCCAUCUGGCCUAACACUGACGCUGAGGUGCGAAAGCAUGGGGAGCAAACAGGAUUAGAUACCCUGGUAGUCCAUGCCGUAAACGAUGUCUACUAGCCGUUGGGGCCUUUGAGGCUUUAGUGGCGCAGCUAACGCGAUAAGUAGACCGCCUGGGGAGUACGGUCGCAAGACUAAAACUCAAAUGAAUUGACGGGGGCCCGCACAAGCGGUGGAGCAUGUGGUUUAAUUCGAUGCAACGCGAAGAACCUUACCUGGCCUUGACAUAGUAAAAACUUUCCAGAGAUGGAUUGGUGCCUUCGGGAACUUACAUACAGGUGCUGCAUGGCUGUCGUCAGCUCGUGUCGUGAGAUGUUGGGUUAAGUCCCGCAACGAGCGCAACCCUUUUCCUUAUUUGCCAGCGAGUAAUGUCGGGAACUUUAAGGAUACUGCCAGUGACAAACUGGAGGAAGGCGGGGACGACGUCAAGUCAUCAUGGCCCUUACGGCCAGGGCUACACACGUGCUACAAUGGUCGGUACAAAGGGUUGCUACACAGCGAUGUGAUGCUAAUCUCAAAAAGCCGAUCGUAGUCCGGAUUGGAGUCUGCAACUCGACUCCAUGAAGUCGGAAUCGCUAGUAAUCGCGGAUCAGAAUGCCGCGGUGAAUACGUUCCCGGGCCUUGUACACACCGCCCGUCACACCAUGGGAGUUUGUUGCACCAGAAGUAGCUAGCCUAACUGCAAAGAGGGCGGUUACCACGGUGUGGCCGAUGACUGGGGUGAAGUCGUAACAAGGUAACC